rnacentral:rRNA from 1 species
CCCUUAGAUGUCCUGGGCCGCACGCGCGCUACACUGAUGCAUUCAACGAGUUUUUCCUUGGCCGAGAGGCCUGGGCAAUCUUUUGAACGUGCAUCGUGAUAGGGAUAGAUUAUUGCAAUUAUUAAUCUUGAACGAGGAAUUCCUAGUAAACGCAGAUCAUCAAUCUGCAUUGAUUACGUCCCUGCCCUUUGUACACACCGCCCGUCGCACCUACCGAUUGAAUGGUCCGGUGAAGCCUCGGGAUUGUGGCGAGUUCCCUUUAUUGGGAGUUUGUCGCGAGAACUUGUCUAAACCUUAUCAUUUAGAGGAAGGUGGAGUCGUAACA